rnacentral:rRNA from 1 species
AACGAACGCUGGCGGCAGGCUUAACACAUGCAAGUCGAGCGCAUCCCUCGGGGUGAGCGGCAGACGGGUGAGUAACGCGUGGGAACGUACCCUUUCCUACGGAAUAGCUCCGGGAAACUGGAAUUAAUACCGUAUACGCCCUUAGGGGGAUAGAUUUAUCGGGGAAGGAUCGGCCCGCGUUGGAUUAGCUAGUUGGUGGGUUAAAGGCCUACCAAGGCGACGCACCAUAGCUGGUCUGAGAGGUUGAUCAGCCACAUUGGGACUGCGACACGGCCAGAACUCCUACGCUAGGCAGCAGUGGGGAAUAUCGGACAAUGGGGGCAAGCCUGAUCCAGCCAUGACGCGUGAGUGAUGAAGGCCUUAGGGUUGUAAAGCUCUUUCAGUAGGGAAGAUAAUGACGGUACCUACAGAAAAAGCCCAGGCUAACUUCGUGCCAGCAGCCGCAGUAA